UGUGUCUGCUGACUGUGCCCUUGAGCAAGGCGGGGCCUCUGACCAGCCUCUCCUCAGCCCCUGCUCCGGGGUUCUUGGGCACCUGACCUGUCCUCAAAGUACCUCCCGCCUGCUGGGAAGGAAACCCUCUCUCUCUGCUUGGCCUCGUGCACAGGGCUCCUGGCCCUCUGUGGAGACAGCAGGGCUCCCCCACUCUCCGGGGGUGCCUCAGAAAGACCCUCACCCCACGCCCCAGCGGCCGCCUCCGAGGAGGGAGGAGGCCCACAAGGGUGCCAUCCCCAGUCACAAAGCCUGGAGAGAGGAAUGUAAGUCGCGAAGCCGCUCCAGAGGAUGCUGAACAGUGUCAUGUACGGAGGAGCCUUGCCCCGGCUUUCUGGUCCUGAAUAAGGAAAGGCUAAAUUUUGGUUAGAGACACGACACAAUGCCAGAUGAAACUCAUCCAAGUCCACGGAUCCCCUGAAUUCCAAGGAAAGAACCGCGGUUCCAGCUUCCCUCGAAGGUGUCCCCCGGUCCCGCUCACCACCUCAGCUUCCAGGAGUCUCCGGUGGGACAGCCGGAACCCCACUGAGGGUCUCGAAGUCACAGGCCCCUGGUUCACACUCAGCAUUUCCUGUCUGUGCUGGGUACGCUUGGGCAAAUGUCUUGACCCGUUUCCCCAACUGUAAAGUAAGAAGGUAACAGAGUCAGCUGAAUGGGGGUGUGGUGAGGAUUUAAUAAAACCGU
rnacentral:lncRNA from 10 species